AUACGUACCUGACAGGACAGAUACCAUGAUCACAAAGGUGGUACUCCCAGGGCGAGGCCUUUUCAUUGCACUCUGAAUGUGCUGAUCCCUGCAAUUUCUCCAAACGUGGGA
rnacentral:snRNA from 1 species